GUUUCUGUAGUUGAAUUACAACGGUGGUUUUUCAAGCCAUUGGUUUUGGUUAGAGUCCUGAUGGGAACG
rnacentral:tRNA from 1 species